rnacentral:rRNA from 1 species
GUCUGACCUGCCCAAUGAGAAUUUAAAUGGCCGCGGUAUUUUGACCGUGCAAAGGUAGCAUAAUCAUUAGUUUUUUAAUUGAAAGCUGGAAUGAAAGGUUGGAUGAAAAAAUAACUGUCUCUAUUUAAAUUUUUUAGAAAUUUAUUUUUAAGUCAAAAAGCUUAAAUAUUAUUAGAAGACGAGAAGACCCUAUAGAGUUUUAUUAAUUUUUAUUAUAAGUUUUUUAGAAUUUACUUUUUUAUAAUAAAAAUUAAUUUGAUUGGGGUGAUUGAAAAAUUUAAUAAACUUUUUUUAUAUAAACACAUUUAUAUAUGAGUGAAUGAUCCUUAAAUAAAGAUUAUAAGAUACAAUUACCUUAGGGAUAACAGCGUAAUUUUUUUAAAGAGUUCAAAUCGAAAAAAAAGAUUGCGACCUCGAUGUUGGAUUAAAAUAAAAUUUUGGUGUAGAAGCUAAAAUAUUUAGGUCUGUUCGACCUUUAAAAUUUUACAUGAUCUGAGUUUAAACCGGUGUGAGCCAGGUUGGUUUCUAUCUCUAUUAAAUUUUAAUACUUUAGUACGAAAGGACCAAGUAUUUCAUUAAAAAUUUCGUUUAAGAAUAAAAUU